GAGAUGUGGGUUAGUCCGCAGCGAGCGCACCUCACUUUUAGUUGCCAUCAUUAAGUUGGGCACUCUGAAAGAACUGCCAGUGAUAAGCUGGAGGAAGGUGGGGAUGACGUCAAGUCCUCAUGGCCCUUACGUGUUGGGCUACACACGUGCUACAAUGGCAUCUACAACAGGAAGCAAAACGGCAACGUUAAGCAAAUCCCGAAAAGAUGCCUCAGUUCGGAUUGCACUCUGCAACUCGAGUGCAUGAAGCUGGAAUUACUAGUAAUCGUGGAUCAGCGUGCCACGGUGAAUGCGUUCCCGGGUCUUGUACACACCGCCCGUCACACCAUGGGAGUUGGUUCUACCUUAAGGCAAGGUUUUAAACCCUUGACCACGGUAUAGUCAGCGACUGGGGUGAAGUCGUAACAAGGUAGCCGUAGGGGAACCUGCGGCUGGAUUACCUCCUUUCU
rnacentral:rRNA from 1 species